CCGGGGGAGGGCGAGGUGCUUAUCGGGGUGGCCGCCGCCGGCGUCAAUCGCGGCGACACGGUCCAGUGGCAGGGCCGGUACCCGCCACCGGCCGGCGCCUCGCCCUACCCGGGGCUCGAGUGCUCCGGCACCAUCGUCGCUCUCGGGGCCGCGCUGGGCCGUCGGUACCAGGCGCCCAGCGUGCCCCCAUGGUGAAUUUGGUUAUGGCUGCUGCUGCUCUGAACCUCAUUUUUUUUUUUUUGCAUAUGCUGUUGCGUUGCAGGUGUGCGCGCUGCUUACCAGCGGCGGGUAUGCGGAGAAGGUGGUGGUUCCGGCAGGGCAGCUGCUCCCGGUGACGGAGGGGGCGUCGCUGACUGACAGCCCGAGGUGGCCUCCACCGUCUGGUCCACCAUUUUCAUGCCAGUCACCUCUCCCUCGGUGAAUCCUUCCUUAUCCAUGGUGGAUCAAGUGGAAUCGGUACAUUCACUAUACAGAAUUCAAAGCACCUUGGAAAUGUACACACGAGACAUUAUUCUUUAGACAACAUCUCUACUGCUCUAGGAGGCACUUUUGACUGUCUGCAUCACCUUUAGGAAUUGCAGCUGGGCUGCAGAAGAGCUAAAUAACAAACCACGAACUCCAUAUAUCUAUUGUGAAGAUAAGUAUAAUAAGCAGAGACAAUUUUUGACAUUUUACAUUCAUACAUCAACACAAAUUGAUGUAUGCUAUCGCUAUUAUGUAGCCAUGGCCAUCAUACAAAACCACGAUGCAUAAAAAAUUGAGGUUCGUCAUU